UACGAAGGGGGCUAGCGUUGCUCGGAAUUACUGGGCGUAAAGCGCACGUAGGCGGCUUCUUAAGUCGGUGGUGAAAUCCUGGAGCUCAACUCCAGAACUGCCUUCGAUACUGGGAAGCUCGAGUCCGGGAGAGGUGAGUGGAACUGCGAGUGUAGAGGUGGAAUUCGUAGAUAUUAGGAAGAACACCAGUGGCGAAGGCGGCUCACUGGUCCGGUACUGACGCUGAGGUGCGAAAGCGUGGGGAGCAAACAGG
rnacentral:rRNA from 1 species